AAUUGCACAGCCUACCAUUUCAAAAGUUAUUGUGGAUGUAUGCACUGCAAUUUGCGAAACUUUAAAGGACCAAUACUUAAAGGCACCAUCAACAGAAGAAGAGUGGAAUAAAAUUGCCAAAGAAUUUGAUGAACUGUGGCAGUUCCCAAACUGCAUUGGUGCAAUGGAUGGGAAACACAUAGCAUUUGCCCCACCAUGAACUGCUGGCUCAACAUACUUCAAUUAUAAAAAGUUCCACAGUGUUGUUUUACUAGCUAUUGUGGACGCUAGGUACCGAUUCUCUUUGAUUGACAUUGGGUGCAAUGGAAGAGUGAGUGAUGGUGGGGUGUAUGCAAACAGCCUGAUAAGCAGUGCACU